rnacentral:misc_RNA from 1 species
UUUCCGUAGGUGAACCUGCGGAAGGAUCAUUCAUAUUAAGUGUUUUAUGGCACUUUUUUAAAUCCAUAUCCACCUUGUGUGCAAUGUCAGGGUUGAUUUUUCUCUCGAGAGGAUCAACCCCAAACAUCAACUAUAUCUCAACUCUUUGUCUGAAAAAUAUUAUGAAUAAAACAAUUCAAAAUACAACUUUCAACAACGGAUCUCUUGGCUCUC